rnacentral:snRNA from 1 species
GCUGCUUCUCGGCCUUUUGGCUAAGAUCAAGUGUAGUAUCUGUUCUUAUCACUUUGAUAUCUGGUAAGUCCUUCAUCAGAGGACUUUAUAUUAAAUGGAUAUUUUGCCCUGGGAGUUGGAUCUGGAGCUUGCUUUCUGGGUCCCUCAGUUUAGGAAAGAUGUUGAGUUGCU